UUUAAUUUAUAUACAUCGUCA
rnacentral:miRNA from 1 species